rnacentral:rRNA from 1 species
GAUGAACGCUAGCGGCAGGCCUAACACAUGCAAGUCGAGGGGCAGCGCGGGUAGCAAUACCUGGCGGCGACCGGCGCACGGGUGAGUAACGCGUAUGCAACCUGCCCGCCACAGGGGGAUAGCCCGCCGAAAGGCGGAUUAAUACCCCAUCGCCCCACGUUCCGGCAUCGGGAUGUGGGUAAAGGAGCGAUCCGGUGGCGGAUGGGCAUGCGUGCCAUUAGCUAGUUGGCGGGGUAACGGCCCACCAAGGCGACGAUGGCUAGGGGGUCUGAGAGGAUGGUCCCCCACACUGGUACUGAGACACGGACCAGACUCCUACGGGAGGCAGCAGUGAGGAAUAUUGGUCAAUGGGCGGAAGCCUGAACCAGCCAUGCCGCGUGCAGGAAGACGGCCCUACGGGUUGUAAACUGCUUUUCCGGGGGAAGAAUAAUCCCGACGUGUCGGGAGAUGCCGGUACCCCGGGAAUAAGGAUCGGCUAACUCCGUGCCAGCAGCCGCGGUAAAGUCUGUACU